UAAUACAGAGGGUGCGAGCGUUAAUCGGAAUUACUGGGCGUAAAGGGUGCGUAGGUGGUUAUUUAAGUCAGAUGUGAAAUCCCUAGGCUUAACCUAGGAAUUGCGUUUGAGACUGAAUAGCUAGAGUGCAGUAGAGGGAAGUGGAAUUUCCGGUGUAGCGGUGAAAUGCGUAGAUAUCGGAAGGAACAUCAGUGGCGAAGGCGACUUCCUGGACUGUAACUGACACUGAGGCACGAAAGCGUGGGGAGCGAACAGGAUUAGAUACCCUGGUAGUCCACGCCGUAAACUAUGAGAACUAGAUGUUAGGGAGCUUGACUCCUUAGUAUCGCAGCAAACGCGUUAAGUUCUCCGCCUGGGGAGUACGGCCGCAAGGUUA
rnacentral:rRNA from 1 species